UGGGGAAUCUUGGACAAUGGGGGCAACCCUGAUCCAGCCAUGCCGCGUGAGUGAUGAAGGCCUUAGGGUCGUAAAGCUCUUUCGCCUGUGAAGAUAAUGACGGUAGCAGGUAAAGAAACCCCGGCUAACUCCGUGCCAGCAGCCGCGGUAAUACGAAGGGGGCAAGCGUUGUUCGGAAUUACUGGGCGUAAAGGGCGUGUAGGCGGUCUAAUCAGUCAGUGGUGAAAGCCCUGGGCUCAACCCAGGAAUUGCCUUUGAUACUGUUAGACUAGAGUUCGGGAGAGGAUAGUGGAAUUCCCAGUGUAGAGGUGAAAUUCGUAGAUAUUGGGAAGAACACCAGUGGCGAAGGCGGCUAUCUGGACCGAUACUGACGCUGAGGCGCGAAAGCGUGGGGAGCAAACAGGAUUAGAUACCCUGGUAGUCCACGCCGUAAACGAUGUCUGCUAGUCGUUGGGGGGCCGUAGCCCUUCAGUGGACGCCGCUAACGCAUUAAGCAGACCGCCUGGGAGUACGGCCGC
rnacentral:rRNA from 1 species